rnacentral:tRNA from 1 species
GCGCAGGUGUUGAAAUUGGUAGACAUUACGCCUUGAGGUGGCGUAGCCCGCAAGGGCGUGGGGGUUCGAGUCCCCCCCUGCGCACAA